GGCCGCUACUGACGCUGAGGAGCGAAAGCAUGGGGAGCGAACAGGAUUAGAUACCUUGGUAGUCCAUGCCGUAAACGUUGGGAACUAGAUGUAGGGCCUGUUCCACGGGUUCUGUGUCGUAGCUAACGCAUUAAGUUCCCCGCCUGGGGAGUACGGCCGCAAGGCUAAAACUCAAAGGAAUUGACGGGGGCCCGCACAAGCGGCGGAGCAUGCGGAUUAAUUCGAUGCAACGCGAAGAACCUUACCAAGGCUUGACAUGUAGAAGAACACUGCAGAGAUGCAGGACUCUUUGGACACUUCUAUACAGGUGGUGCAUGGUUGUCGUCAGCUCGUGUCGUGAGAUGUUCGGUUAAGUCCGGCAACGAGCGCAACCCUCGUCCUAUGUUGCCAGCACGUGAUGGUGGGAACUCAUGGGAUACUGCCGUGGUCAACACGGAGGAAGGUGGGGAUGACGUCAAAUCAUCAUGCCCCUUAUGUCUUGGGCUUCACGCAUGCUACAAUGGCCGGUACAAAGGGCUGCGAUACCGUAAGGUGGAGCGAAUCCCAAAAAGCCGGUCUCAGUUCGGAUUGGGGUCUGCAACUCGACCCCAUGAAGUCGGAGUCGCUAGUAAUCGCAGAUCAGCAACGMUGCGGUGAAUACGUUCCCGGGCCUCGUACAC
rnacentral:rRNA from 1 species